rnacentral:rRNA from 1 species
AUGAGCAGUGAGAGGAGUAGAGGAGGAAGAAAAGGACUGCAACCGCGUGCAGUACAUCACCCCGUGCGGGAUCCGUGCCAUGGUGAUUUUUUGAGUCAUAUUGCAUUUUACUUGCUUGAGCUAGCGGUUCGUCAGUCACAUUCCAUGCAGUGCAUUGCCAUGUUUUUGCAAUGCGUUGGCAUGUCCUUUCCAGUGAAGCACCAUCUAUUUUUCCAUGCAGUGCAUUGGCAUGUUUUUGCAGUGCGUUGGCAUGUUCUUUCCUGGGAAGCACCAUCUAUUUUUGUGACGAUUUUGUGUCUUCUUUGUAUGUUCAGUGCACUACAGUUUAGGGCACCUCGUGCGGUUCAAAAACGUGGGCUUGCAAUGCAUUAG